AUCUUCAGGCUGUAAAGUUGGAACCCUUUUGUCCUUGCUUGUGAUUUGCCUAUGGUCUUUCUUAAUAUACUUUCCUAGCCUUUUCCCUUUUCUCUCACAAUUUCUUUCAUUUUCCCUUCCUUUUUUCUGGUACCUAGUUAAGCUCUAGCUUUUCAUUUCUAAGUGCACCCCACAUGAGAUCUUAUUUCAGGUAUUUUUGCUUUUAUAUUAGUUUGAAACUCCCUCAAAAGUAACAAACAAUUAGAAAUUUGCAGUGUCUGAGCUUUGGGGAUUUCAUGGAGCUUUUCAAGGACCUGGUAAUUGUAAGUCUUCACCAGGGAGAUAGAGCUCAAAUCAACUGAAGUCUCAUCAGCUCCACCGGUUUCACGGCACCACCAAAUUUGAUCACUUUCGGAGAUUCAUCAACAUGCGGCAUGGAUCAGGAUUGAGGCCUCUUGUUUAUUUCACAGACUCUAUCAGGCGUCCAUUAUUUACGAAGUCAUCAGCAAAAUCUUACCGUCUAUUCAUCUUCUUCUUCGCCCUCGCCGUCGGCGCGUUAGUUUCCACGCGCUUGCUCGACACCACUCCUCAGUCCGGUCUCUUCAAGCCCAGAUGUUAUUACAUCUGACAUCUAGCAAAUCAGCAAUUGACAACGACCCAGCGACGACCGAUCAAGUAGUGACCAACCGAGGAAAACAGACGAGAUUGUACGAUGAUAACCAAAAGGAAGAACGAUCGACAGACGCCGAGGAGAAACGAAAUCCGACCGACCGAGACCGAGCGAUCAACUGAGAGGAUGAUCGACUGACCAAUGACGAUGAGAGACAAUAUCCGACAGAGAAUCGAACUGAAAUUAUAUGGCCUCAGCUGCAUUCAUCAAGCCUCUCCCUGUAAUAGAGUUUGUUACGCAGCUUCUAUGCUAAGAUGUGCUGUGUAGGACAUUAUCUGAUUCUGAUUUUGUGAAGGAAUGCAAAGAGCUGUUGUAAUUAGUCUAUUUGACAGAUCAAUAACGCAGGCACUAAUAAAGGUUUCAGACCUUUAAUGCAGUUUACUGAUGGAGAUAUUAAGCAGGAACCUGGAGAUUUGCGUGCGGCCUGACUGACUGCUACGGGUGCGGAAUGUGGCUUCCAGAGAAAUGGGAUUUGCUUGAGGACUGUUUUGUGUUUUGCUUCCAAUGUAACAGUGAAUAAUUGCUGAAAACAGAAUGCUAUUGAAUGCUAUGUGAUAUUCUGAUUGAAAUAAAAUUCAUUAAGAAGCAAA